UGGGGACAUUGGGGACAUCACGGGGACACCAGGAGGUCACCAAGAUCACCGUGGGGUCACCAGGAGGUCACCAUGGGGUCACCAGGAGGUCAUGGGGACAUUGGGGACAUCUCAAUGAUGACCACGAUGACCAUGACCAUGGUGACCAUGACCAAGAUGACCACGAUGACCAU